AGCAGCCGCGGUAAUUCCAGCUCCAAUAGCGUAUAUUAAAGUUGUUGCAGUUAAAAGCUCGUAGUUGAAUUUCGGGAUCAAUUAAUUGGUCGUGCCUCUGGUACGCACUGGUUUUAUUGGUUUCUCCCUUCUGACGAACCACGAUGUCAUUAAUUUGGUGUCGUGGAGAAUCAGGACUGUUACUUUGAAAAAUUGAGUGUUUAAAGCAGGCUAACGCUUGAAUACAUUAGCAUGGAAUAAUGAAAUAGGACGUUUGAUCCUAUUUUGUGGUUU
rnacentral:misc_RNA from 1 species